UGUGGUUAUCUUGGUCAGUGUGUGUGUGUGUGUGUGUGGUUAUCUUGGUCAGUGUGUGUGUGUGGUUGUCUUGGUCAGUGUGUGUGUGUGGUUGUCUUGGUCAGUGUGUGUGUGUGGUUGUCUUGGUCAGUGUGUGUGGUUGUGUUGGUCGGUGUGUGUGUGUGCAUGUGGUUGUCUUGGUGAGUUUGUGUGUAUGUGGUUUUCUGGGUCAGUGUGUGUGUAUGUAAUUGUCUUGGUCAGUGUGUGUAUGUGUUUGUCUUGGUGAGUUUGUUGUGUGUGUGG